AACUUUCAUAUUGAAAGAGAAGAAGAUUCUAAUCAGUUGAUUAAAGUCUUAUCCAAUACAAAUAUUCAUAUUCAUUCAAUUACUUUGUAAAACCUAAGUACCAAGGAUUGUUUGGUUUUAGGUGUAUUGCUUAUUAUCCAGGAUUGUUGGAUAUAAGUGUCAAGAAAAGGAAUGAUUGUUUUCUUUUCUUGUGUGUUAAGUUUUCAAGAGGAUUGUU
rnacentral:lncRNA from 1 species